CUAAUGUCUAGCCCUGACGGGUCUGGAUACUGCAUGCAAAAGCCACAUUUGGUCAUUUUUAGCCAGAGCGUGCAAUCGCCACACAGGCUGUGCAAUUGGGCUCCUGCUGCUGAGGGUGAGGUCAAUGAGAGGGACAGCUGAUGUGACUUCAAAUCCUGCUCUCCUCAGAAAAUGAUAUGGAUUGAGAGGUGACCCCCAUCCAGAUUCAUCGCUGUGCUGCAGAGUGCCACGAGCCUGGCACCUCGAGAGAGCUGUGUAAAGGCAGACACACGACCAGCAGAUGGCGCUGCAGGUGGAGCAAAAGAACACCACUGGCCAAGGACUAGAACACAUGCAAGCCUGGAUGGUGGUUGGACCAUGCAGUCCAAGAUGCUUCCUAGGAGUCUGAUAAAAACCAUAGUCCCCAUAGAGGUGGAGGAUUGAUUUGAUUGCAACUAUGGGGGUGGGGGAAGGUGGGGAGAAGCAGCAGAAACACCAGAAAACCUGAUAGAGAAGCAGCUGAAAGCCAAGGAGACAGAACGAGCACUCAAGUGUGGCCCUGAGAAAAUAUGAGAGUGAGAGAGCUUUUGGGCAGAGUGCUGGCUGAAAGAGGCUUGAAACUGAGAGCAGAGAAACUUCCUCCUGCUGCUUGAUUGCUCCUGUGUUCACAGAAACAGGACUUUGUGCGUUCUUUGAAAAUAAACAGGAUUGCAUCACAGA